UUGGUGGGGUGAUGGCCUACCAAGGCUUCGACGGGUAGCCGGCCUGAGAGGGCGUCCGGCCACACUGGGACUGAGACACGGCCCAGACUCCUACGGGAGGCAGCAGUGGGGAAUAUUGCGCAAUGGGCGGAAGCCUGACGCAGCGACGCCGCGUGGGGGAUGACGGCCUUCGGGUUGUAAACCUCUUUCGACUUCGACGAAGCCUUUCGGGGUGACGGUAGGGGUGGAAGAAGCACCGGCCAACUACGUGCCAGCAGCCGCGGUAAUACGUAGGGUGCGAGCGUUGUCCGGAAUUAUUGGGCGUAAAGAGCUCGUAGGCGGUGUGUCGCGUCGGCCGUGAAAACCUGCAGCUUAACUGUGGGCGUGCGGUCGAUACGGGCAUCACUGGAGUUCGGCAGGGGAGACUGGAAUUCCUGGUGUAGCGGUGAAAUGCGCAGAUAUCAGGAGGAACACCGGUGGCGAAGGCGGGUCUCUGGGCCGAUACUGACGCUGAGGAGCGAAAGCGUGGGGAGCGAACAGGAUUAGAUACCCUGGUAGUCCACGCCGUAAACGGUGGGCACUAGGUGUGGGGGCCAUUCCACGGUCUCUGUGCCGCAGCUAACGCAUUAAGUGCCCCGCCUGGGGAGUACGG
rnacentral:rRNA from 1 species